CCUGGGCUGGCUGCUGGGUUCAUCCUGAUGGGUGGCAAGCGCAGCAAGAGAGAGCUGGAGCCCAGGUCUCUCUAGCCAGAUGAGACAAGUUCCUCUAAAAUGGCCUGUGAGGCUCCUCCCAGCUCUGAUGCCUGCCCAUUUCGGC